AGCUUUGCGCAGUGGCGGUACCAUAGCCAUUGAGGAAUUUCCAAGGCGUGGUUAUUGCUAGUUGAAAAACUAUACUUAAGAAAUAUUGAUAAACCUAAUACCUAUACCUUGACUUAUUUAACUGUAGAAUUAAUAACUCACUACUCUGA
rnacentral:snRNA from 1 species